GUCUGUCUGUGUGAUGCUUUUGCCGGGGACAGAACAGGAAUGGAGUCUUAGAAUUUAUGAAACGAGAGGAGAAGGACCUUUCUGGGAAUCCUUAAUGGCAACUCAGACCUCAGCUGCCAGAGCACUGGAUGGAAAGCACUACUAUGUGUAUGGAGAAAGUGGAAAUAUUAUGGCAUGUGGAUAAAGAGAUUUAACAAACAGCCCAAAAAUGAGAGGGGAGAAGUAACAGUUCCACCAGCCCUGCUCAGACCAGCUACAAGUGCACGACUUAUGGCCAGAGCCAUCCACUCAGCAUAUGCCCUAUAGAGGUCACCAGGAUCAGAUGGAUCAGGAAGAG